GGCCCGGACCCUGUGCAAUCCCAGACUGUGAACCGUGUCAGGGCCGGAAGGCAGCAGCACUCAGCAGACCCUGUGAUGUGCCGCAGGACAACCCGGGCCGCA
rnacentral:SRP_RNA from 1 species